rnacentral:rRNA from 1 species
AGCUACUGUUAUAAAAUCAUGAAUGCAACGCAUUCCGCCCGCUCUGCGCUAGUUACUCUAAGCAUGAUAUCGUCCGGCUAGUACUGUCGUGGGUGACUAGACGGGAAUCCUGGAUACUGUAAUUU